CCAGCACCUGCGGUAAGACCGUCAGACCCAGCAGCUGCGGUAAUUCCAGCUCCAAUAGCGUAUAUUAAAGUUGUUGUGGUUAAAAGGCUCGUAGUUGGAUCUCAACGAUCUUGAAGCGGUCGACUAAGUGUUGUACUGCUUUGUAGGUCGUGCUUUUGCUGGAGGUUUAGAGGUGCUCUUGAUCGAGUGUCUCUAGAUGCCAGCAGGUUUACUUUGAAAAAAUUAGAGUGCUCAAAGCAGGCUAUUCCGCCUGAAUAUUCGUGCAUGGAAUAAUAGAAUAGGAUGUCGAUCCUAUUUUGUUGGUUUUCGGGACUCGACAUAAUGAUUAAUAGGGACAAUUGGGGGCAUUUGUAUUCAAACGACAGAGGUGAAAUUCUUGGACCGUUUGAAGACAAACUACUGCGAAAGCAUUUGCCAAGAAUGUUUUCA
rnacentral:rRNA from 1 species